UUGGUCAAAAUGAGGGACAUGUACUGUAAGGAUGCUUUUACAUACUUCAUUAAUGUGUAUGAAAUUACUUACUUGACAAUGUGUAUAAAAACUGUACUUGACUCUAACUUAGUGCUAUUUUUGCAUUGAUCAUGAUAGGAGCAUUUUUCUUUAUUUUUUCUUUUUUUUGAUGGGCCAUCACACAGUGGAUUUAUAAAAAUGAGACUACAGAACAUCAGACGGAAGCUUCAAUGGAGUUGAUGUGAGAGGAACUCACCAAUAAAGAAUGCCAUUGACCAAACCUUCAGUCAUCAAAGAAGAUGGAUACAGGUGGACAUCGAGUUUUCCAGACUUACCGAUAGGAAAGAAGACAUGUUUAUCAGGAAAUGGGAGGUGACAAUUAUUGAGAAACUCAGGGAAAUAUCAUCUUUAGAGAAGAAAUGUAAUGUAAGAUAUUUAAUGUAAGAUAUAAAAGUAAUCCUUUUUAAAUAAUUUUUUCUCAUAAUUUAUAUUUUGCAUGUGACCUGCAUGUUUACCACACCCAGAUCUAUUGCUGUGUGAAUUCUGCUGUCUCAGACUGGGACUUGGUGGCGGCUGGUACCAGCAUGACCUCUUUGCUUACUAAAUGAUGAAAAGGUGUCUAAAAUCAGCUCAGCCACAGUUGGUUUCCAGCGGUUCUUCAGGACAUGAAUUCGCAAAUUUUUUCAAAUUUACUAGCUAAGUAACCUUAAGUAUCCCUGCCAACUGUCUUCAGUUUUUUUUUGGUAUGAAUAUGAUCUACCCUUGUCCCAGUCCUCUUGCAAACAAUCCAAGGCAAUGGAGUUUCAAAAUGGACCGCAAAAUUGCAGUCUGUUUUAACCAAUGCAUGCACUGUGUGGCGGUUUCCCGGACAGGGAUUAGACUAGUCCUAGACUAAAACAUUUUUAAGAGCUGUCCAAACUGAAAACAACUUGCACUGACAUAUCUUAAAAUACACCAGUGCCCUUUGUUUUGCCUCAAAAUGCACACAGGUAAUGUUUUUAGUAAGGCAUGUUUGUUAAAACCAGAUAUAUUUCCUAAUUAAUCUAAGGCCUAGUCCUGGAUUAAGAUAAUCCCUGUCCGGGAAACCACCCCUAAAUAUUUUGUGAUGGAAAUUUCUUUGAAUACACUUGUCAAGUUCAUUUGAAGUAUUUUUCUUAAUGUAAAAUAACGUGUUAAUGUUUCAGGACAAGGUAAGAAUUUUUGAUAACUUGCAUGUUGAAAACGAUUUCAGACAUUGUUUCAACAUGUUUAACACAGUUGCUUUUAAAUUCAAUGAAUUAUUUUAUAAAUGGUGUUUUUUAUGUAUAAAUGUAAUGUAUGUUUGAAGUGAUUAUACUUGCACUUAAAUUUAUUUAAAUUAGCAUACAUCUUGCAACAUACAGUACUAGCAUAUUUUCAUGCUAGCAUUAAUUGUCAAAUAUUUAUUAUUUUACAAAUAAAUCGUUUGUGAACAAUAUUUAAUAGUUGUCUGCUUGAUUUCAUUAUUUAAAGUUUACAAAUCGUAUGUUUUUUUUCUCUUUUAUAUUAAAACUAAACAAUUACUGGGUAACACACAGUUGUGUUAAAUUAAUAGAAAGUUACACAUUAAUGUGUUUACUGAAGCAACACAUUUUUUGUGUUGCAUUUUAUAACACAUAUUCUGUGUUAAAUUUAACUCAACAUGUGUUGUCCCUGCGCACACUCAGAACAUGUGUAAAAAAUAACACAUGUUGUGUUGUUUUUAACACAUUUGUUUUAAGAGUGUA